AAGCCGUGCGAUGAGCACAUAACAAACUAUUCUUUCGCUUUUUACUAAAGAAUAACGUGUGCUCGCCGCUGAAAGUGCAAGUCGUCAUUGGUCAACAUACAAAAUGAGAUUUUCUGG